rnacentral:rRNA from 1 species
AUGGACUUUGUUUUAGGUUUACCUCGAACAAAGAAGGGGAGGGAUAGCAUAUUUGUUGUCGUGGAUAGAUUCUCGAAAAUGGCACACUUUAUACCAUGUCAUAAAAGCGAUGAUGCUGUUAAUGUUGCUGAUUUGUUCUUUCGUGAAAUUAUUCGCUUGCAUGGUGUGCCAAAUACUAUUGUUUCAGAUUGUGAUACUAAAUUUCUUAGCCACUUUUGGAGAUGUUUAUGGGCUAAGUUGGGGACUAAACUGCUUUUUAGUACUACUUGUCACCCCCAAACUGAUGGACAAACUAAGGUAGUCAAUAGAAUGCUUAGGGCUGUUUUGAAGAAUAAUAAGAAAAUGUGGGAAGAAUGCUGGCCUCAUAUUGAAUUUGCUUAUAAUCGUUCAUUGCAUUCUACUACUAAGAUGUACCCUUUUGAAAUUGUGUAUGGUUUGCUACCUCGUGCACCUAUUGAUUUGUUGCCUCUUCCAUCUUUGGAGAAGGUUAAUUUUGAUGCUAAACAACAUGCUGAAUUGAUUUUAAAAAUGCAUGAGUUAACUAAGGAAAACAUUGAGCGUAUGAAUGCUAAAUAUAAACUUGCUGGAGAUAAGGGUAGAAAACAUGUUGUGUUUGCACCUGGAGAUCUUGUUUGGUUACAUUUGUGUAAGGAUAGAUUUCCCGAUUUGCGCAAAUCAAAGAUAAUGCCUCGUGCUGAUGGUCAUUUUAAGGUGUUGGAGAAAAUAAAUGAUAAUGCAUAUAAACUUGAGCUACCUGCAGAUUUUGGGGUUAGUCCCACUUUUAACAUUGCAGAUUUGAAGCCUUAUUUGGGUGAGGAAGAUGAGCUUCCGUCGAGGACGACUUCAUUUCAAGAAGGGGAGGAUGAUGAGGACAUCAAUACCAUUGUUACACCCACAGCCCCUGCUGAUAUACAUACUGGACCAAUUACUAGAGCUCGUGCACACGCCAACUAA